rnacentral:rRNA from 1 species
UGGGGAAUAUUGCGCAAUGGGGGGAACCCUGACGCAGCAACGCCGCGUGAAGGAAGAAGGUUUUCGGAUUGUAAACUUCUUUGGCAGGGGACGAAAAAAGACGGUACCCUGAGAACAAGCCACGGCUAACUACGUGCCAGCAGCCGCGGUAAUACGUAGGUGGCGAGCGUUGUCCGGAAUUACUGGGUGUAAAGGGCGUGUAGGCGGGGAUAUAAGUCAGAUGUGAAAGUCCAAGGCUCAACUUUGGGAUUGCAUCUGAAACUAUGUUUCUUGAGUACUGGAGAGGAAAGUGGAAUUCCCAGUGUAGCGGUGAAAUGCGUAGAGAUUGGGAGGAACACCAGUGGCGAAGGCGACUUUCUGGACAGUAACUGACGCUGAGGCGCGAAAGCGUGGGGAGCAAACAGG